GUAGGAGCUGCCGCAGGCUGCGAUCUUUUGAUUCUGUUUUUAAAAGACAAGAUCAAAAAAACGCAGCCUGCGGUAGCUCCUAC
rnacentral:misc_RNA from 1 species